UACGUAGGUGGCAAGCGUUGUCCGGAUUUACUGGGCGUAAAGGGCGUGCAGGCGGUUUGUUAAGUGCAGGGUGAAAGCUCCCGGCUCAACCGGGAGAGGUCCUUGCAUACUGGCAAACUCGAGGGAGGCAGAGGAAAGUGGAAUUCCCGGUGUAGUGGUGAUAUGCGUAGAUAUCGGGAGGAACACCUGUGGCGAAGGCGGCUUUCUGGGCCUUACCUGACGCUGAGACGCGAAAGCGUGGGGAGCGAACCGG
rnacentral:rRNA from 1 species